rnacentral:rRNA from 1 species
UACGAAGGGUGCAAGCGUUAAUCGGAAUUACUGGGCGUAAAGGGUGCGUAGGCGGUUCGUUAAGUCUGUCGUGAAAUCCCCGGGCUCAACCUGGGAAUGGCAAUGGAUACUGGCUAGCUAGAGUGUGUCAGAGGAUGGUGGAAUUCCCGGUGUAGCGGUGAAAUGCGUAGAGAUCGGGAGGAACAUCAGUGGCGAAGGCGGCCAUCUGGGACAACACUGACGCUGAAGCACGAAAGCGUGGGGAGCAAACAGG